UGCCCAUGUGAUUUGGGAAAAAAUGAGUCUGGAAACACUUUGUUUUCACGCUGAAAUCCGCAUCAAUGAAAUGUAGCGUGACAUUUAUAUACGGCUCUAUGGUGCAGUUUGACCACAGAUCCAUAGUACGCCACGUCCUUCAUAACACCCUCA